GCCCCCGUUGUCUAAUGGUUAUGACGUCAGACUUCUAACUCAGCUGGAGCGCAUCUGGAGGUUGCGGGUUCGAAUCCCGCCGGGGGUU